UCCAUUAAGUGUCAUUUUCCUUCUUUGAAAAGACAAAAUUGCAGUGAAAAAGGUCACUCCCCAGCGUAGCUCUGCCCGACUUCAGCCCGAACAGAGAUCCAAUCCACCAGAAUAACUAAAAACACCUGUGUGGGUGUGUUGGAUGAACGGAAUGGAACAAAGUAACUCAUCAUCUAAUUAAAGGUGGCACCCUAUCUUUCACAUUGCAUCCAGUGUCUGACCAUCAAGCUUCAGUGACAAUGUUCCCCCACUCGCCCCGCCGUCUGUUUCGUCACCACCAUUUCAGGGCUGGCUCAUGCUCCAGGGUUUACGGGAAGACUUAAAUAGAAACAUUCCUGGGAGGACAUCUGUGUCUCACUGUGGCUUUUGGAAAUAUAAACUGCUGGCAUUUUCUCCAGACGACUGGGCAAGGACAGCUUCCGUGACAAGGACAGGACACUGCCGAAACUGACUUCAUUACAAAAAACUGUGACUAAAUGUCCAUAAAAUGAUGAUGAUGAAAAAAGAGGAGGCAAAUUACAAAUCCCCUUGUCAUUGGAUUGCUCCAAUUUUUCUUCCGGCAUGUCCAAAUCACAUUUACAGUGACUUUGCUCUUUGAACUAGGUGAACACCACAGCAAGUUCCACUGAAAACUGACUGACAAUAAAAAGGAUG